GCAGUCUAUGGUCACACCCUGAAUGUGUUGAAUCUCAUUUGAUCUAGGAAGCUAAGCAGGGUUGUGCCUGGUUAGUGCUUGAAUGGGAGAAAAGCAGACUAUAGAGCCAUGCAUUGAUUGCA
rnacentral:rRNA from 1 species